rnacentral:misc_RNA from 1 species
AAGGAGUCUAACAUGCCUGCGAGUGUUUGGGUGGAAAACCCGAGCGCGCAAUGAAAGUGAAAGUUGGGAUCCCUGUCGCGGGGAGCACCGACGCCCGGACCAGACCUUCUGUGACGGAUCCGCGGUAGAGCAUGUAUGUUGGGACCCGAAAGAUGGUGAACUAUGCCUGAAUAGGGUGAAGCCAGAGGAAACUCUGGUGGAGGCUCGUAGCGAUUCUGACGUGCAAAUCGAUCGUCAAAUUUGGGUAUAGGGGCGAAAGACUAAUCGAACCAUCUAGUAGCUGGUUCCUGC